rnacentral:rRNA from 1 species
CGGGGUGAGUAAUGUAUGGGGAUCUGCCUGAUGGCGGGGGAUAACUACUGGAAACAGUAGCUAAUACCGCAUAAUGUCUACGGACCAAAGCGGGGGACCUCCGGGCCUCGCGCCAUCAGAUGAACCCAUAUGGGAUUAGCUAGUAGGUAAGGUAACGGCUUACCUAGGUGACGAUCCCUAGCUGGUCUGAGAGGAUGAUCAGCCACACUGGGACUGAGACACGGCCCAG